rnacentral:rRNA from 1 species
GGCUUUGAAGCGUGGACGCCAGUCUGCGUGGAGCCAACCUUGAAAUACCACCCUGGCAACUUUGAGGUUCUAACUCAGGUCCGUUAUCCGGAUCGAGGACAGUGUAUGGUGGGUAGUUUGACUGGGGCGGUCUCCUCCUAAAGAGUAACGGAGGAGUACGAAGGUGCGCUCAGACCGGUCGGAAAUCGGUCGUAGAGUAUAAAGGCAAAAGCGCGCUUGACUGCGAGACAGACACGUCGAGCAGGUACGAAAGUAGGUCUUAGUGAUCCGGUGGUUCUGUAUGGAAGGGCCAUCGCUCAACGGAUAAAAGGUACUCCGGGGAUAACAGGCUGAUACCGCCCAAGAGUUCAUAUCGACGGCGGUGUUUGGCACCUCGAUGUCGGCUCAUCACAUCCUGGGGCUGAAGCCGGUCCCAAGGGUAUGGCUGUUCGCCAUUUAAAGUGGUACGCGAGCUGGGUUUAGAACGUCGUGAGACAGUUCGGUCCCUAUCUGCCGUGGACGUUUGAGAUUUGAGAGGGGCUGCUCCUAGUACGAGAGGACCGGAGUGGACGAACCUCUGGUGUUCCGGUUGUCACGCCAGUGGCAUUGCCGGGUAGCUAUGUUCGGAAUAGAUAACCGCUGAAAGCAUCUAAGCGGGAAACUAGCCUCAAGAUGAGAUCUCACUGGGACCUUGAGUCCCCUGAAGGGCCGUCGAAGACUACGACGUUGAUAGGUUGGGUGUGUAAGCGCUGUGAGGCGUUGAGCUAACCAAUACUAAUUGCCCGUGAGGCUUGACCAUAUAACACCCAAGCAAUU